CUUAACUGUGAUCAAAAAAAAAAAAAAAGAGGAGGGGAAGGUCUCAGGUAAAGGGAUCAAACAGAGAAGGUCCUAUGAGGAGAAGCCUUGACCCUGCUCUAUCUUUGACCCUCAGAUCUCCCAACCUUCUCCUUAAGAGACCUGCCCAAUCCGUGAUCUGCUGGCCAUCACUACUGCCCAGAAAGACCAUUCUGAUAGGGGCGCCUGGACUGAGGACUCCUGGUGAUAUCCCCAACCCAGACCUCAUGGAUGCCUAUAGGAAGGAGAACACGCCACCCUGGCCAGGAGGCCACCUGAAGUCAGGACAACGCCUGGUUCAGAAGAAUGUGGGCGUCAGCCUCUCUGUAGGCAAUGGACGAGAUACCAAGAUGGUGUCUUGCCGGACUCAAAGCAAAAGGACUGUCCCUGCCAUUCUACCAGGCCUGGGGCCAGGCCGCAGGUUGGAGCUGGGGAGGCCUGUGGUCAGCAGGAAGCUCUCGGCCUUGGUUCAGACCAACCUGGCUCCUGCUGGCCAGCCCCUGCAAGAUGCCACAAGCCUGGUGAGUAACUCUGGCUUUGAGCAACAGAGUAACCUGCAACCCCGGGCCUGGAGGCCAAGGGCAUCUGGGCCUUGGAGAGGGUUUUCCUUCCAGCAAAGCAACAUGAAGCUGAGCAGAGCAGACCCGGAGAGGAGAGGGGGACACAGGAGUCCUCAGACACUAGAGAGGUCAGACGGGAACCUGGCAGGUUGCUCGCGGGAACUCUUGUGGCCCCGACGUUCUGGAAGUGCUUCCUGGCUUGGCAGGCCAAAGAGCCAGACCCACGGAUACCCAUUUCCAAGGGAUAAACCAUCAUCAUCUUCAUUCCCUAGCCUUGGGAACACUGUGCAGGUCUCACCAAAAGCCACAAAGGCUCAAGGGUCUGAGCUGAGCCCUCCCCCUCGGUCUGGGCAUCAGGAUUGUCUUGUCCAGCCCAGCCCAAGACUGCGGAGUACCUCAGGUUGCUGGGCCCCAGAUCCCGUGAGAUGGCCCCUCACCUUGGAGGACCUGGGCAUCUCGGGCCGACACCAGCGAUCAGCUCACCCCCCGGUCUCGAGACCCAGAACUAAGCUUUCCCCAUCCCGCCUGCUCUUGUCCAUGAGGCACCUUGAGUGGCCAACAGAGCUCCUCAGAACGUCUCAGGAGCAACCCAGAACCUGGCCCCACUCGAACAGGGUCACUUCUCCUGAGGCCUCUCCAACCUUGACACCAGGGCACCCCAGUCCCCUCACCCACCCCUGCAGGGCUGCGCCUCCAGAGGCUGCCCCUCACCUGACACCAGAGCACCCCAGCCCCCUCACUCUCUCCCACAGCACCGUGAGUCCAAUGAUUUCCCCAGAUCUGACACNNNNNNNNNNUGAGUCCAGCAAUUUCCCCAGAUCUGCCAUCUGGGCACCCCAGCCCCCUCACUCUCUCCCACAGCACUGUGAGUCCAGUGAUUUCCCCAGAUCUGACACCUGGGCACCCCAGCCCCCUCUCUCUUCCCCAUAGCACUGUGAGUCCAGAGGCCCUCCCAAAUCGGACACCAAAGUAUCCUAGCCUUCUUUCUUUUCCCCAUGGACCUGUAAUUCCAGAGGCCUCCCCAAGCCUGACACCAGGUUACCCCAACCUACAUACUGUCUCCAGCAAAACACUGGCUCCAGAAGCCUCCCCCUGCCUGACACGUGGGUGUCCCAGAGCCCUUAUUCUUUCCCACAGGGCUGUGACUCCAGAGACCUCCCCCAGCCAGACACCAGGGUACCCCAACUUCUCUGGUCCUUCCAGCCAGGCUGGGUUUCCCAACUUGAAAGUAGGACACCCCAACCCCUUGACUCUUUCUGGGAGUACUCAGACAUCAGGGAACCCUAACUCCUCCACUCUCUCCCAUAGUCCCCUGACUCCAGACCCCUCCUCCAGCUUCCCUUCUCUCUCCCAUAAUGGCAUAACUCCAGGAGCCCCCCCAAAUCUGACACUGGCAUACCCCUGCCCCCACACUCUUUCUAGCAAGACCAUAACUGCAAGGGCCUCCCCAAAACUGACACCAGUGUACUCUAGCCUCCACCCCUGCCCCAGCAAGAUUAAGGUUCCAGAGGCCUCCACCAACUUGAUGCCGGGCUGUUCUAGCCCCCUUACCCUUUCCCACAGGGAUGUGACUCCAGAAGUCUCUGCCAGCCUGGCACUGGGGUGCCCUCAAGGUGUACCGCAGUUCACCAGGGCCUUUGGCAUUCCCAAGACACAGGGCUCGGGUCAGUUCCCUGACACCAAGGAGCUGGGUGAUUUCAGCCUUCCCUCCUCUGGUGAGGGGCAUGGCGGGACUGCCCCUAACUUGUCUCCUGGGACCAGUGGGAUGAAUGUCUUUAGGACUGCCAACCCAGUUCCCUUCCCUCAGUCUGAUACAGCCCCCUACUCUGCAGUGGCUCUCCCCUCAGCAUUUCCCCAAGUCUUCUGUGAUAAGCUAUCCCUAUCUUCAGGGAGGGGCAUAGUCCUGGAGGUCCCCCACCAGGCUGUGCCA
ensembl:lncRNA